CAGACCGAUCAGGCGAUUCUCCCCUUCUCCUUUUCUUUACUCCUCUUUGUCUCCUUGAUUCUUUGUUGCUCGGUGAUUCUUUCGAGGGUAUACGGAGAUUGAGAGGUUUUCAGCCAUUUGAGGAAUGGAUCAAAGAAUGAUCGCAUCUAGGGAACACAUUGAACAAAUGGAAAGGGAUGACACUGAUGCAGAAAUCAUGAUGUGUAUGAUGUUGUUGAUGAAAGCACGUGAUUCAUUAUACACUAGAGA